AAUUGAAUUGAAUUUUUGUAAAAUUCUACAUUUCAAACGAGGGAAAUAAAAAGUGACAAGAUUAAUAUGCUAGUUACUGUUUAUUUUAUAUAUGCAUCUCAUCAUAUACACAUUGUGUCUUAGAUUGCAGUGAAUUACCUAGGUAAAUAGUGUUUUCAAGUUUUAAUCUUUCAAAAAUUAAUACAUCAUCUGAGUAUGUCACUUAGUCACUUAGAUUAUCUUUCAGCUUCUUUGUGAAUCAUUUUGCACAUGAUUUAUAUAUGUCCGGUCCAAUCACAUAUGUCAUCAAGAAAUCUCCAUAAUUAAUUCAUCAAUUUUAUGCAAGGGAGAAAGAAAAAAUUAAAGAAUAAAUAUAUUUUGAGAAGUAUAUAUACCUUCGAAGUGAGGCAGUAUUUUGU
rnacentral:misc_RNA from 1 species